rnacentral:rRNA from 1 species
GACGAACCGUGCAAACGUUAUUCGGAAUCACUGGGCUUAAAGCGCGUGUAGGCGGAUUGGAACGUCGGCGCCUGAAAUCCCCCGGCUCAACCGGGGAACGCGGCCCGAAACGACCAGUCUGGAGGGACGUAGGGGGGACUGGAACUUCCGGUGGAGCGGUGAAAUGCGUUGAGAUCGGAAGGAACGCCCGUGGCGAAAGCGAGUCCCUGGACGUCUACUGACGCUGAGACGCGAAAGCUAGGGGAGCGAACGGG